CCCGCCUCCCGCGCUCCCCGUCAGGUUCAAAGCCCCCUCCAGCCUAACGUCUUCAGCCCAGCCAGGCUGCCCUUCUUCCCUACGGAGGGAGGGCCUGGGCGGUCGCGUUGGCGGGAGGGAGGUUACCUUUCCCAGUCUCGCUCUGGCCGCCCGAGCCAGGAGGAAGCAGCGGCGAGGUCUGCGGGAGGCAUGGCGGGAGCUCCGGACGAGCGCGGGCGGGGCCCCGCGGCAGGGGAGCAGCUGCAGCAGCAACACGUCUCUUGCCAGGUCUUCCCCGAGCGUCUGGCCCAGGGGAAUCUCCAGCAAGGGUUCUUCUCCAGCUUCUUCACCAGCAGCCAGAAGUGCCAGCUUAGGCUCCUGAAGACGCUGGAGACAAAUCCAUAUGUCAAACUUCUGCUUGAUGCUAUGAAACACUCAGGUUGUGCUGUUAACAAAGAUAGACACUUUUCUUGCGAAGACUGUAAUGGAAAUGUCAGUGGAGGUUUUGAUGCUUCAACAUCUCAGAUAGUUUUGUGCCAGAAUAAUAUCCAUAAUCAGGCCCAUAUGAACAGAGUGGUCACACACGAGCUCAUUCAUGCAUUUGAUCAUUGUCGUGCCCAUGUUGACUGGUUCACCAACAUCAGACAUUUGGCGUGCUCAGAGGUUCGAGCUGCUAACCUUAGUGGAGACUGCUCACUUGUCAAUGAAAUAUUCAGGUUACAUUUUGGAUUAAAACAACACCACCAGCUCCAGAUUGACUGCAAGAACAAACCAGCAAUACUGAGAGGACCCACAGACCCUCUGAAGGAAGCGACGGCUCCUACAGUGCCCAGGAGACACCCCAAAUACUUUUGCUUGGGGACUUCCUCAGCCAGUUCUGUGCUCCUCAAGGCGGGAAACCAUGCUUGCCAAUCUUUUGGACUCAUUUUUAAUCGGCUUGGAAAUUUAAUCAGAAUAAUGCCAGGUAUGGAAACCACCUCCUGGGAUUAAAGCAUCAGUGAAGAUGCUGCUUAGGAGGAAUUCAGAUUUUAGAGAAGAAAGGAGGUCAUGAGAGCUCAUUACUGGAUCACUGAACUGGUGCCUCAGCCAUGAACCUGGUGAAGAAUGAGAAAAGAAAUUUUUCUUCCCCUACAGAAAUGAGGAACCUGGAAAGCAGAGAGGUUAAGUAACUUGCUCCAAGUCAUGGGACUAAUAAAUGGAAGACGAAACAUGACUCCAAAACCCACUCAGUGGGUGAAAGAUAAGUGUGUGUGUGUGUGUGUGUGCGCGCGCACGCACGCACAAAUGAAGGAGCUUCUGAAUCUGCAAUAUUCACUGACAGGGGUGUCCAGUAAUAAAGAGCUGAGAAACAUUGACUUGAGUCC